rnacentral:tRNA from 1 species
AGGAAACUAGUAUAUACUAAUGUAUAUUUCGCUUACACCGAAAAGGAGCUAUUUGGCGUUUCCUU